rnacentral:misc_RNA from 1 species
AGGGAAAAAAAAAAAAGGAAAAAAAGAAGCCAAAUACAAGUUACCAUGGUUUUUGGAACCAAUCUGGACUGGCCGGUUGGACCAGUUUAACUAGGACCUCGAGCUUGAUUUGUUUCAGUUCAUCUAUAAAACCUUGUUUUAACAAACCUGCACCAGACCGGAGUGAACCGGCGAGUAACUGGCAAAACAUCAAACCUGGUCCGGUUUAAACCGGUUUGAUGGUUUUCUCAUAAAAAAAAAAAAUUUGAGCAUGUGAUACUGCAUUUAGGACUCGAAGAUUGGAUUGCAAACAAAUCUCAAGCAUGUGAUACUGCAUUUAGGACUCGAAGAUUGGAUUGCAAACAAAUCUCA